UACAGAGGGUGCAAGCGUUAAUCGGAAUUACUGGGCGUAAAGCGUGCGUAGACGGUAGCGUAAGUCGGGUGUGAAAGCCCCGGGCUCAACCUGGGAAUUGCAUUCGAGACUGCUCUGCUAGGGUGCGGAAGAGGGAAGCGGAAUUUCCGGUGUAGCGGUGAAAUGCGUAGAUAUCAGGAGGAACACCAAUUGCGAAGGCAGCUCGCUGGGACGUUACUGACGCUGAGACGCGAAAGCGUGGGGAGCAAACAGG
rnacentral:rRNA from 1 species